rnacentral:lncRNA from 1 species
CAGGAACUCAGAAGGGUCCAGCGUUGUCAGCAGACCUCAUCUCUAAAGGCAUUUAGUGGAGAAGAGGUGAAAUUAAACAAACAAAGGACACCUCUGCAAAGCCUGUUGAUAUCUUCCACAAACCUGUACCACUUCAGUCUCCCACUGCGGCUCCAAAAAUUGUAAAUUCCAACCAGAUGAAACCUGUUACUCCCAGUCAGUGUGUUAUUACUCUCGAGUCUGAUGUGGCUGCUCCUGGAGUGCCUGAGGAUGAGCAGAAACUCACCGUAAUCCUUCGUCCUCCUCCACAGCUUUCUUUUAAUGCCAGAGACCCACCCCCCAAAACUGUAAAGCCAAAGACAACCCUUGCAGCAGGAAAAGCAAAAGACUUGUUUGACAUUUUUUACAGUGGCAGCGCUGCGGUUAAAUCCUCUGUCAGUGCCAGUGUUGGCGACAAAAAAACCUCUGGAUUUGCUCCACAAGACAGUGGUUCAACCUGCAAAGAGUCCAACAAUAAAUACAAAAAUGCUAGUGAUGUUUUCCAGAGCCAAGAACUUCUCAAGAACGAGGACUCAAAAGUUCCCCUGAGAGGAGAACCUCUCAAAAAUGAGGACUCAAAAAUUGCCUUGAGUGAAGAACCUCUCAAGAAUGAGGAGUCUGAAGUUGUCCUGAGAGAAGAACUUCUCAAGAGUGAGGACUUAAAAGUUGCCUUGAGAGAAGAACCUCUCAAGUACGAGGAGUCUGAAGUUGCCCUGAGAGAAGAACUUCUCAAGAGUGAGGACUUAAAAGUUGCCCAAAAAGAACCCCCCAAGAACGAAAAAUCUAAUGUUGCCCAGAGAGAAGAAUCUCCCAAAAACGAAGACUCAGAAGUUGCCCAGAGAGAAGAACCCCCCAAGAAUGAGGACUCAGGAUUUGAACAAGCCUUUGAAGACGCCAUCUUAAAACCUGACCUUCAAAAUGAAGAUGCAAAAGAGGAAGAUUUUGAUGAUCAACAAGUGCUUAAAUCUUUUGAAAUCUCUGUGGGGGAUAUAACUGUGAUGGAAGUAGAUAGUCAGGAUACAAUGCAGACAAAUAACGAAGAGGAAAACCCUCUGGAAUCUGAGGAACCCAUGUCUUUCUCCCCUCUUCCUGGUUCUUUCACUGAGCAACUGAACUUGGACACAUUUGAAUUCAAUUUUGAGCCUUUGUAAAAGACCUUCCAUGAGUAAUGCCAGUGAAAACGUGGACUGAAAAGCAUUCAUUCUGAAGUGGGUGCUGGGGAAGGAAUCCCUCUAAGAGAAUGAGAGCUUUCAUCUAGUAAUGAAUCCUUAAUAUGUGUAAAAGUUUCACUAUCUUGUCAAAAGCACCCGGUGUUGAGCUACUUGUUUCCUUAUUUUUUUUCCAGCAGAAACCAUUCCUUUUUCCCAAAGGUAACGUAAAACAUACUAUGAAUAUGAUGUGUAUCAAACAUUUAAGUCUAUAAAGCCAUUUGCUCUGUUCAUUCCAUUCAAAUAAAUGAAGAUAUUUUAAUGCAGGAGCCAGAAAGAUCCAGGCUCAGAGAAGAGAAAUGGUGUGGAGUUCAUGCUUCAAGGACAUGUGCGUUCACAACUCUGAACAGAAAAUAUCAGGCUUGGCCUCCAUAGGUUUUGAUGGCUUUUCUUUCCAGUUUAAAAUUUUUAAAGGAAUCAAUGUUGUAUUAUAAUGUUAACAUUGCUACCAUGCUACUUUAGCAUCUACAGAUAGUUGGUGUAAUUGCACACGUUCUGUGCUAGCUCAAAUAAAUCACAGCAACCUUUUCUGUCUUUGCUUCUUACUGAUAUGUUUAUUACUGCUGUUACUAGACUUGUGCAUUCUUUUUUUUAACCUUUUGCAUACAUCUGGCCUCAUUCAUGAAACAUAAGCAGAACUGUGUAAAUCAUUCAUAAAACCUUUCUAUAAGGUACUUUGCCACAUUGACUAAGCAUGGUUUUAUGAACGUUAUAUACAAAUCCAUUAUGUUGGUAUUUCAUGAAUGAGGCCCAUUGCGCUGUGUACAUAUUUGCAUGGACAUCAAACAUGAAUGUUGGUGUAAUUGCUAGUUUAAUUACAAAAUUAAAGCCAGUAUGCUGUUAUUGCUUUUAGCGAACAUCUUGAACGUGACUACUGAAUUUGUAUUAUUUUUAUUUGUAGCUGUGCAUUAUUCACAUGCAAAUAGUUUCCCAUACAUGCAUGAAUCCUGAAAGAAAUCAAACCUUAAGAUUAUUCAUGUAUUUAGGAAUUCCACUGUUUAGACAGGAGUUUGCUGGAGAUAUGGUUGGUUGGUUUACAUUGUGUUUUAAUGACGGCAAUAUUACAGCUGACAUCUGCAUCCAGGGAGGAACAAAAAAACAUCUUAAACAUGAAUCUGCUGUUUACCAUGAAGGUAAGUGUUUUUGCCUUGACUGGUUUUGGUAGUCUAUCGUGAAUUAAUCAGUAUAAUCCAAGUACACUGAAGAUGCUCUACGAGUAAGUUCAGCAUAGUUCACCCCAACUUGAAAAUUAUUUUACUCACCCUCACGUGCAAUGCCGAAUCACCAACUUUAUUGUGUAGAAUACAAGAAGAUAUUUUGAAAAAAAAAUAAUUGUACAUACAAUUAAAAUCCAUGGAUCUUAUUUUGAGUUCGUCAGAAUUGUCUAGUCGUACAGGUUUGGAAAGAGGACAGAGUAAAUAAUGAUUUAAUUUUCAAUUUGGCCGUGAACUAUCCUUUUAUCACCAUAUUUAUUCACUAUGAAUUUGUUAAAACAUGCAAUAUUUGAAAUCCGUAGUUAAUGACAGGUAAAUAAAAAUAAUGAAAAUUAUAUUUUAUGUUUUUCAAAUAAAAGCUCAUGAAUGGAAUCAUGCUUGUUUUCUUCUUUUGGCAGUUAGAAUCAAAAUGAAGUGAAUGUAUCGUGUCGAAAUGGUUUUGAGAAAAACAUGCCAAUAGAUGGCAGCAGAUGUUUCUGUACGGACGUCUUUUUUGAUGUAAUCUUUAGAAAAUAUACAAAAUAUUAUUUUGAAUUUAAAAUAUAGAUUUUAUAAUUGUAUUAUAAAUAUUUUGUCUAAAUAUGAAACAAUGAAUAUGUGUUUUAGAUGUGUACAAAAAUAACAAAGAUGUGUAAAAGUAAUUCUAAAGUAAAGAAUUAUAUAUAAAGAAGACCCACAUUUGGUGAUUUUUAUUUUUAUUAUUUUUAACCAUGCAUUUAUAAGAAAAUGGCAGUGGAACGUCCUCAAUGCACCAAGUUUUUAUGACUAUCAUAAAGGAUAAUACCCUUAAUACACUGACUAUAGUACAAUCAAUCUGAUGACACAAUUACUCUGAAGCUGGACCACAGAUGACCUCAACAACUGCAUCAAUAUUCACAAGUAAAAUUAUAUAAGGGGUCCAGCUCUUUUGCUUUACACAACCAAAAUUUCCUCUGGAUGACCCUAUUCUGACAAGUUAACUUUCAAUGUCACCAACACAAGUCUCCCUCCCACAAUCAGUUCCUCUCGUGACAAUCUGCACCUCCACGAGAGAAGGAUAAGCCGUCAACAACAGCUGUAGCCCCCUUCCUCGUCGCAGCCAGGACCCCGUUUGGAAAACUCAACACCGUCUGGUUCAAAAAGCGGCCAAUAGAAAAAUUCCGCUGUGCUGUUGCUAGGUGGUUUCGAGCCUCGCUGACCAAUCGGAUUGCUACUGGCGAAGGGAAGGCGCGGGGAGCUGGAGGUAACAGUGUGCGCGAGAGCCCGAGUGCGAGGGAAGCCUUAUCGCGGAGGCACGGCUAAAGACAACAUUUGCAAAAUGCCGAAUAAAACUAAAAAAGAGAAGGUAAAGUACAGAUUACAAUCAUACCACGUGUCUAAUUAAUGUAUCCGAGAAUUCUGUUUGUAUAAUAAUUACUCUGCAGCAUUUGCUGGCGUUGUUUUUUGUAAGUGAAGGCCGCGCUAGCCGCUAGCCCGCUAAGGGCGCAUCUGUGCCUGUAUGUCUCAAAAUACUGACAGUUACAUUUUUCACAAGAUUUUUUAUUUAUUAUUACUAUUUUUUAAGCUCAGCGUGACGUGUAUUUAAAAUAUGAGUCUUUUAUGUUUGAGAGAAUGCUCUUCAUUAGCUGUUUUACACAUCAGUUUUCUAUAGUGAGAUUAUGAUUAAUAUGUGAAUAGAGGCGUAUUAGUGGACAGAUUGCAGCAUAAGCUGGACACAAACAUGUUCUCCUGUCCCUGCGUGAGUCAAUGAUUCAGUGGAUGGGCUGUGAACAUCGUUAUGUAAACGCUCGAUAUAUAAGUGGACAAGUUUGUCACUGAAUGUGAUGCUGGACGGUGUGAGCUCAAGUCAUUUAUCACUCACAGAGAGCAGUCAGUGUUUUGUGUGUGUGUUUCCUAAUUCAAAAUCUAGUUGCAGUUGGGCUGCUGGUGGCCUCCACCUUUCAUAGCAGUCCUGCAGCAUGACCUGCCCAUGAUUUGACUUGUAUGCAGACCACCCCCAAGAAAAAGGGCUGUGUUAAAAGUGCUCAAAAUAUUAGGAGCCUCCUUUGAUUUAUGACUCGAAGUUCAUUUAUAGUUUUUUUUUUUCUGGUCAUUACAGGAACCAACCAAAUCUGCAAAAAGCAGCACAAAAAACAGUAAUGCCGGUGGCGGAAAGGAUGCUGGAACUGAAAACUCAGAAGAG